UGCUAAACAGCUAGCCCAUCCACCCAACAACAACAAAUCAUCAUAAAUAACCCCAAAUCCCCCAACGUAGACCAAACAAAUCAUUUUUCCUCCCUAGUAUGGGCGACAAAAAAGUACAACAGGAGCAACAGAAAAAGUACCGCAAGGGAACCCUGAAAGAGAAAUGAAAAAACUCAGUAAAGCACCAAAAAGCAGAGAUCACCCCUCGUACCUUUUGCAUCAUGAUUUAGCCAGUGAACCCCAAGCAAAACGUAUUUUAGUUUGACAACCCGAAACUAAUGUGAGCUACUCCGAGACAGCUUAUAAAUAGAGCAAACCCGUCUCUGUGGCAAAAGAGUGGGAAGAGCUCCGAGUAGAGGUGACAGACCUACCGAACUUAGUUAUAGCUGGUUGCCCGAGAAAUGAAUAGAAGUUCAGCCUCCUGGAUUCUUUAUUUCCCGCAGCCUCACUUGCUCUAAUGAAGAGAAACCACGAGAGUUAGUCAAAGGUGGUACAGCACCUUUGAAACAGGUACAACUUUUUUAGGAGGGUUAGAAUCAUACCCCCAAAGACAGCACACCCUGGUGGGCCCAGAAGCAGCCACCCCUACAGAAAGCGUUAUAGCUCAGACAUUUCCGCCUGUCUACGAUCCCGAUCACCUAAUUUUACCCCCCUAAUUUUUACCGGGCCGUCCCAUGCAAACAUGGGAACGACCAUGCUAAUAUGAGUAAUAAGAGAGCACUGCCUCUCUCUCGCACACACGUGUAAAUCGAAAUGGACAAACCAUCGAAAAUUAACGGCCCCAAGCCCCAAGAGGGAAAUGAGAAACCAACUAUAGACCCAGAAAAACACCCAACAAAUAUUAACCGUUAACCCUACACAGGUGUGUCCCCAGAGAAAGACUAAAAGAAAAAGAAGGAACUCGGCAAAUAAACCCAAGCCUCGCCUGUUUACCAAAAACAUCGCCUCUUGCAAACAAAACAUAAGAGGUCCCGCCUGCCCUGUGACUAUAUGUUUAACGGCCGCGGUAUUUUGACCGUGCGAAGGUAGCGCAAUCACUUGUCUUUUAAAUGGAGACCUGUAUGAAUGGCACAACGAGGGCUUAACUGUCUCCUUUUUCAAGUCAAUGAAAUUGAUCUUCCCGUGCAGAAGCGGGAAUACGACCAUAAGACGAGAAGACCCUAUGGAGCUUUAGACACGAAAGCAGACCAUGCAUUAAUCCCUACAAAGGUAACUAAAGCCGAAUGGCUCCUGCCCUAAUGUCUUCGGUUGGGGCGACCGCGGAGAAGGAAAAAACCCCCGCACGGACCGGGAAGACUACACCCUAAAAACGAGAGCUACAGCUCUAGUUAACAGAACUUCUGACCAACAGAUCCGGCAAUGCCGAUUAAUGGACCAAGUUACCCUAGGGAUAACAGCGCAAUCCCCUUUUAGAGCCCAUAUCGACAAGGGGGUUUACGACCUCGAUGUUGGAUCAGGACAUCCUAAUGGUGCAGCCGCUAUUAAGGGUUCGUUUGUUCAACGAUUAAAGUCCUACGUGAUCUGAGUUCAGACCGGAGUAAUCCAGGUCAGUUUCUAUCUAUGACAAUGCUCUUUUCUAGUACGAAAGGACCGAGAAGAGGAGGCCCAUGCUUCAAGCACGCCUCACCCUUACCUUGUGAAAGCAACUAAAAAAGAUAAGAGGGAAUGGCCUCAACUAUGUCUUAGAAUUUUUGACAU
rnacentral:rRNA from 1 species